rnacentral:rRNA from 1 species
CUUUAGUAAUUGCGAAUGAACAAGGAUAUGCUUAGCUUGACAAAUGGAGCUAUUGGCUUUGAAUUGUAUUGUGGAAAUGUAUUACCAACAGAGGUGCAGGUGCCAGCCUAUUGAAAUAAAGCGUCAAUGAGGGUGAGAAUCCUGUUUGUCAUGUGCAGCCCUUUGUGCACGGUGUAUAUUUGCUGAGUCACACUCCUUGGCAUUGGAAUGCAAAGUGGGUGGUAAGUUUCAUGUAAAGGUAAACAUGCAAUUGAGACUGAUAGCACACAAGUACCAUGAGGGAAAUAUGAAAAGGACUUUGAAAAGAGAAUUAAAUGAGUUUGUAUUUGCUGAACACAAAGUAAACAGACUUGAUUUGCUUGGUGGGAGUGUUGCACUUGCUUGACAAGAGCUUUGGGCUGUGGGUGUAAUGAUUCUUUCUUUGCAUGCCAGUUUCUAUUUGUACAUCUGAUUACCUUUGCACAUGAAUGAUAAGUCUCCUGUGGGGGGUGGAUUGCAUGUGCAUGUAAUGAUUUGUGUUUUGAUAAAUGUGUCUGGUGUAUGUGUGUGUUCCUGUGCUUGGGGAUGCUUCCUUCCUUGGACUUACAAGCCCUGACACACACAUGCUGGCAAAAUGCUUCUGCUUGACCCGUCUUGAAACACGGACCAAGGAGUCUAACAGAUGUGCAAAGUUUGAAGGUGGUAUACCUUUGUGUGCAAUGAAAGUGUCAGCUGGGAUAUGUGCACCAGCACCCAAUUAAUUAGCGGACAGAGGUUUGAGUUGGAGCAUAUCUAUUAGGACCCGAAAGAUGGUGAACUAUGCCUGAACAGAAUGAAUUCAGAGGAAACUCUGAUGGAGGUUCGUAUCGAUACUGACGUGCAAAUCGUUCGUCAUAUUUGGGUAUAGGGGCGAAAGACUAAUCGAACCAUCUAGUAGCUGGUUCCCUCCGAAGUUUCCCUCAGGAUAGCUGGAGUUGCUCAGUUUUAUCAGGUAAAGCGAAUGAUUAGAGGAAUUGGGGGACAGGUUUGUCUUUGACCUAUUCUCAAACUUUAAAUGGGGUAAUAUGUAGUGGUUGCUGUAUGGAACUUCUAAGAUAAAUGGCAAUAUUGGGUGGGCC